rnacentral:lncRNA from 1 species
GUUCCAUGUAUUGAAACUUCAAGCAAAAAACAGUUCCUUGGUUUUUGCUUGGUCUUGGUUUUGCUUAAGCUGCCUUCCCUUCCACCGCCUUAACUAGAUGGUGAGUUACCCCGUGAGAUCCCAGCUCCAGUCCAGUCACUUAUGAACUCAUCCUUGAGAGCUGGGUCUAGUCUCGCCAGCGUCUCCAAGCCUAGUUUAUCUGAUUUAAAAAAGAAGAAUAACCAUACAAAGAUGUUUUGAAGGUUAAGGUAAUGGUAGUGAAUUUCAAAGCAGGCUAGACCACAUGUGGAGAGUUUGACAUUAGAGAAUGGUACCUAUUGUUAUGGUCACAAAUGAAUCCUAACCAAGCAAUGAAGUGGAAUUUUUUUUUUCUCUGUUCUGACAGGAUCAGUGUUUGACCAAUGGUAUAUGAAGAUAAGUAAGAAGCCAAAAUGAUAUACAAUUUAAUGUUCAAAAUUAUGAUACCCACGUAUGAGAUAAUGUGAAAAGAUAAACUCUUGCAAGUUUUCUGCCAGUCCAGCAAUUUGUAUCAAGACUACUACAAAUUUUCACAUCCUUUAGCCCAGCAAUUACUCUUCUUGGAAUUUAUCCUAAAUCUAAUGAAAACCCUGAAAAGGUUUUUUGUUGUGUGUAUUUGUGUGUAGUGUGUGUCCAUUUAAAUAUACCAAAUGUCUAACAGUAAGUAUAUUGAUUAAGUCAUCACUUUCCAACCUCUCAUUUAGCCCAUAUUUUCCAAAGUGGGGGUGGGGGGCAGGGGUGUCCUCCGU